CGGGCGCGGAACUGCGAUUCUGAGAAUCUUCACCCUGCAGCGGCAGCCCUGAGAAGCCUCGGCGCUUCUCACCUGCGUCUCUCUUGCCUGCCUGGCUCCAGCCCCGAGCCGCCUGGGCCCCGCGCACCUGUAGACCCGAGGCCCAGACUGCCUCUGCCCCUAAUGCUUUUCCGGGCUUGGCAGAGGGGUUCCCGGCGGGGAUUCCUGGGGUCGCGCUGGUGAUACGCAGUGAAGAAAGGCGAGCUGCUGCGUCCGAGCUGGGUGCUCUCCGAGCGCAGGGAGGCGGGCUGCCAUCGGCGGGGCGCCUCUGGGGAGCCCGGGCCGGCGAACCCGCGCGCAAUCUCCGCGGGUCCCGGGCGCCGAGGCCGGGACGGCCGGCGCUUUCGCCUUAGAUGGAAAUGGGGACCGGGCCUCCGGACCCUCUACCGUGGAUUACUUGGUGCAUCUCGGCCGGGCUUGAUGACCCACGACCUCGUCUCCAUCCGUGGAUUGGUGCGUGCUACCCAACAGUCUGGUCGCUUCCCUGGAGGUGAAAUCAGAGGGCUGUGGCUGACCUGAAUAGAUGCUUCGAACCAAGAAAGCAGGACAAGAUAAAAGGCGAGCUGCACCCUGAAAUCAAGGCCUGGGAGGCAGGACAGGUGGAGAACUGUUCCUCUCGCCCGCAGUCCCCACCAGGAGCCUCAGUGUAACCAUGAAGACCCCAAGGAGCUAAGAUGGGACCUUCUCUUAAGAGGCAAGUGCUCUGGAUUGGAACAAGAAGUCUCAUUUUGGAGAACAGACUUCGCUGGUGGCUCAGGUGGUAAAGAAUCUGCCUGCAACAUAGGAGACCCAGGUUCAAUCCCUGGGUCAGGAAGAUCCCCUGGAGAAGGAAAU